GCUGCUCCUAGUACGAGAGGACCGGAGUGGACGCAUCACUGGUGUUCGGGUUGUCAUGCCAAUGGCACUGCCCGGUAGCUAAAUGCGGAAGAGAUAAGUGCUGAAAGCAUCUAAGCACGAAACUUGCCCCGAGAUGAGUUCUCCCUGACCCUUUAAGGGUCCUGAAGGAACGUUGAAGACGACGACGUUGAUAGGCCGGGUGUGUAAGCGCAGCGAUGCGUUGAGCUAACCGGUACUAAUGAACCGUGAGGCUUAACCUU
rnacentral:rRNA from 1 species